UGCGUAGGCGGACGUUUAAGUCAGUGGUGAAAGUUUGCAGCUCAACUGUAAAAUUGCCAUUGAAACUGAAUGUCUUGAGUGUAAAUGAGGUAGGCGGAAUGUGUUGUGUAGCGGUGAAAUGCUUAGAUAUAACACAGAACACCAAUUGCGAAGGCAGCUUACUGGGAUACAACUGACGCUGAGGCACGAAAGCGUGGGGAUCAAACAGGAUUAGAUACCCGCGUA
rnacentral:rRNA from 1 species